rnacentral:misc_RNA from 1 species
UGUUGGGAGCUACAUAAGUAACAUGUUCGAGGACAGGCAAAUUCUUUUGGCAUCUGAAAUUAUGGUUUGUGUUGGUAUACUGAUGAGCUUUAAUGUUAUAAUCCCGUAUUCUGUGCCACAAUAUGUUUGCUCGGGGCUCUUAUUAUUUGUAUCUGCCGAAGUGUUAGAAGGUGUAAAUUUGUCACUCCUCUCACGAGUCAUGUCAUCUAGGCUUUCUCGUGGAACCUACAACGGUGGCCUCUUGUCUACAGAAGCUGGAACCAUUGCUCGGGUGAUUGCAGAUGCAACCAUAACUCUCGCUGGGUACUUAGGCGAGAGUAUGCUCUUGAAUGUUACUCUUCUCCCUUCGUUCUUCAUAUGCAUUGUCUCCAUUCUCG